AGAAGAGUUCUGCAUCAUAAUAACUCCUUGCUCUUGGAGACACGAAUAAAAGAAAUUUCAUGACUUCUUGCUCCGAGGAGUAGAGGAGCAGUAGUUAAAGCUCGUUAGGCUCUGGAGGUUUCAAAGCGGUUGAGUGAUGAGAUCACCCUUCUCCCAACAGCCGUGCUUGGACGCGAUGUGGUGGGAAGGUGCUGCUAGCUCUGGGCUUUGCUCAGCUCCUACAGAGCCCAGUGACCCAUCAGUAGCAGCACAUACACAGGGACCAGAGCAACUUUGUUGUUCCUGUUGGCAGUGCUAUGUCUGUUGAAGGAAAGACUCUUUCCUCUGUACAACUGUCUGCAAGUAAUGUGUAGUAAUGCUUUCUGUGGAAAGCAGCUGCUAUCUGAGAUCAUUCAGACCUAAUAUUUCACUGGCAGUUGCGCAGCACACAUAGAAACUGAGCUUGACCCUUCUUCUGCCACAGAGAGGCAUGGAGCUGAUCAAGAGGAGUGGGGCUCUGCUGUGCAGUCCUCUGCCUAUAUCCCAUAUGGCACCACUGAGACUGCAUCAUCUUAAAAGGUGCCUGCUCACCCAAGCGAGGUGAGUGUAUUGCCUUUUCCAGGAGCUCAGGAGGAGCUGGCACGACUAACUUCAACCAGGAGACAUCCAAGUCUAGGGGCAUCUUUCCCUUCAUCCCAGGCUGUGGUGGUGGCUAACCAGUGACACAUUGCAUGAUGCUGUCGGACAACACUAAAAAAGUCACGUCGCCACUUUGUCCCAGCAUUGAGAAAAGAUCCACACUAGAAGAGCUGACUGAUGCAUCCCCCUCCUGCAUAGAAAUUUCUCCCAAAACCCCAUCUACUACCACCCAGGCUGGGCUCUGUGAAAAUCCUCAGCACAUUUACCAGGCAUAGACUACAACUGGUUGCAUUAUAUCUGACUGAUACAGGCCUUUUCACUGUGCUGUCCUCUUGUAUUACAGGAAAGCAUGUAAAGAGUUAAAAUACACUAAAAGAUUUCACAGCCCAUUUUCUGUCCUUUUUACAAACACCAAUUUAGAUUUAUCACACCAAGCUGGGAACAUUUUAUGGGACCUCUGACUUAAAACAUUGGCAACACAUCACCACAGAGGUCUGCCUUUCCUUUUCAAAAAAACCCAUGGAAAUACUAAGCUGGAACAGGCUGAGAUGGCCAGCCAGCUGUCUGCUAUUUGAAUCCCAUGAAAACCCAAAUACAGCUGCAGAUUCAACUUUGUUCUGGUCAAAUACAGCAGUCCUGGAAUGUGCUCUUUUCCACUGGGGCAUGAAUAGUGUCAAAAUUAAUGCUGCUUUCUUAGCAGUAUGGAUAAAAAGCUGUGUGACAAUUUUCUAAAGGCAUGUGUAAAUGGGAAAUUAUUCAGGAGCUGGCUGGUUUCUAAGGAGGUCCCAAUAAGAUCAAUUCCUGACUCUUUUUCUACUGAAAAUUUUAUUCACUGAUUUGGGGAGGAGGGGGGAAAGAAAAUAAAGGAACAAAGAGAAAUCAUGACCGAGAAACUCAAGGUGGCAAAAAACCUGUUGGAUCAAGCUGUGGUCAGGGUUAGCAGAACCAAGACAUGCUCCAGGAGGAGGAGAAGGAGGAGGAGGAGGAGGGUGCCUCCAUCAUCCCCACAAAAUGCAUGACCAUUGUCAGAGUUCUCUGUCUGUUACCUGCACCCUGGUUGGGAAGGACACUGAGAACAUGAGGAGGGGUUAGGGGAAAAAAAAAAUGCAAAACAAUGGUAGAAUGUGCUAAACCAAUGUAAUGA